UGACUUGAGAAGCUGGCAUCUUUAAAUAUGUAAAUUGAGAACAAGAAUAUUAAUAAAUUUUUUAUGUUUGGUUUUUUUUCCCUUUCCUUCAGUUUGCUAAAGCACUCUCCAGUGCAUGCAUCUUAGCAGUAUGUGUAUGAAGGAGACUGGGCAGGAUUCAGUCCAAACAUACAUUUUUCAUUAAAUGGUGCCAACUAGACACCAAAGAGAAGCAACUUGCAUUCUGAUGAAGAGGGUGUUUUCCUGUUUAGGAGGAAAUAUAAGGAUUUGGAGUGAAAUAUGAAACUGCUCUAAAUUCUAGGCCUUCAAAGCAAAAAUAUUUCACCGAGAGCAUGAGACAUACACAAGAUCCACGACUCCAACUACUGCAAUUUCAGGAUAAAGAUACUAAAUCAGCUCACUGAGGGAAUGAAAUAUCUUUCAACUCUCUUGGGCAAGAUACUGUGCUUUGCUGUGGAGUCCUGUCCCUUCUGCCACUGACUUCAAAAAGCAAAAGGCAAGUGUCAGCAUCAGAGCUGCAGCUGAUUCAUCUGGAUACUCUGGCUGUGACAAAUUUUACAUGCCUGGCUGUUGGAAAAGAUGAGGCUCAACUGAAAGUCUACCAGUGGGACACUUAAUCAAAAGGGGAGAAACAAAGCUACAAGAGAUGGAAAAAAAAAAUAGUGAGAGAAGACAGAGAAGAAGGAGAGUCAUCCAUUGGAGCAGGUAAAACAUGUCAGGAGAAAGGGGCAGAAGAGAGAAACUGCUGUGUAUAACCCACCUGUUUCCAGGCUACUCAGCUGGCGGAGAGGUAGAGGAGUCUGGAGGGAUGCUGAUCUUGGGAGAGUGGGGAGGGCAGAUAUUGCUUUAAUGUUCUUUUCCUUUGUCUUUAUCUGAAACAAUUUUAAUUGGCAAUAAAUUAAUUUUC